GGGUUAGUUCAAGUAGUAGAGCAUGAGACUCUUAAUCUCAGAGCCAAGGGUUCAAGCCCCACAUUGGUCA